UGAGCAACCUGCCCUUGACUCUGGAAUAACAGCUGGAAACAGCUGCUAAUACCGGAUACGACCUCCGAUGGCAUCAUCUGGAGGUGGAAAGCUCCGACGGUCAAGGAUGGGCUCGCGGCCUAUCAGCUUGUUGGUGAGGUAACGGCUCACCAAGGCUUCGACGGGUAGCCGGCCUGAGAGGGCGACCGGCCACACUGGGACUGAGAUACGGCCCAGACCUCUACGGGAGG
rnacentral:rRNA from 1 species